rnacentral:rRNA from 2 species
CAACACGACUCUCGGCAACGGAUAUCUCGGCUCUCGCAUCGAUGAAGAACGUAGCAAAAUGCGAUACCUGGUGUGAAUUGCAGAAUCCCGUGAACCAUCGAGUUUUUGAACGCAAGUUGCGCCCGAGGCCUUCUGGUCGAGGGCACGCCUGCCUGGGCGUCACGC